GAGAUUGUAGCCUAUUGGUUAGAGCGUCGGACUUCCGACUUGAAGGUCGGGGGUUCGAUUCCCGAUCCCA
rfam:Macrostomum lignano uti_cns_0000873, whole genome shotgun sequence.